rnacentral:lncRNA from 8 species
CUUUUAUUUACACUGUUAUUAUUAUAGUGGAACAUUGAUAGAUUAUAAUACUUUGUAAAUAAAGCUAAUAACUGUGAUGUCACUAGAGCUUGCAAAUAUGUUGUGGUAAUCACGUUUACGAUUUGUUAUUAAGCAUAAAUACACUCAAAUAUUAUAUAUGCCGUGUUUAGCUGAAUAAUGGUGUUAUCUUCCUGCUUAAUACUGGAUCAAACCGCCCACGUGUUGCAUGCAAACGCGUCAUUUUUUGACGUUUACUGCGAAAACGACUCUUUUCAGAGCAAAAGCUGGAUAUGUCCACUUCAAAUUGUAAUAUUGUAACCGUGUUGUCGGGUUUUGUUACUCUGGGUUAUUUUUACACUCGAAUAGGCAGCGCUUUACCUUUUGAGGCGAUGGAGCACGGACUGCAGUACCGCGCUCCUGUCGACAGAUGGCGCGAAUGUUUAAACUUGUAUGCUUUUUUUUUAACUUCACCACAGACCCUGAAUGACGGACUUUCUCUUAGGAAACCACCAUGAUAUUCCACUUUCAGGUUUCCAGCAUUUUUCAAAAUAUCUUGUGUUCACUGGAAGAAAAACACAACUAGACUUUGAACAGAAAGACGAAAAGUAAAUGAUGACGCAAUUUGAAGUUUUUGGUGAACUGUCCCUUUAAGCCAGUCCAACCCUGAACAGAUUGCCUGCACUGCAAGCUGGACUA